rnacentral:lncRNA from 1 species
GUUUUUUGAGCUUAGAGCAGAGUUUCUCAAGAGCUGCAAUACUGGCAUUUGAGUCAAGUCGUUCUUUAUUGUUGGUGGUGGAGGGGGCACCCUGUAUAUUGUAGGACGUUGGGCAGCAUCUCUGACUUCUACCUACUAGAUGCCAGUAUCUCAGUUUUCUUAAAAGACUUUUUUUUUUUUUUUUUUUUUUUUGAGAUGGAGUCUUGCUGUGUUGCCUAGGCUGGAGUGCAGUGGCACCAUGUCGACUCACUGCAACCUCCGCCUCCCCGGUUCAAGCGAUUCUCCUGCCUCAGCCUCCUGAGUAGCUGGGAUUACAGGUGAGCACCACCAUGCCCAGCUAAUCGUAAAAGACUUUUCAUAAAACUUCAGAACUCCUUAAAAACUAGUGAAUAGCCAAGGUGAAGAAAGCCCUCAGGCUUCUGACUUUAGACCCCAAUCCCUGGGACUCCCACACUCAGCAAAGAAAGCUGGGUGCCUGCACCCUGGAUCUCUGAGCAAACCUGUCUUAUGGCUGUGGGCAACUCAGGAACAUGAAUUAGCACGAGAAUCUGGAGUUUUUCUUUCCUUUUCUGGUAAGACACUUGUGGUUUUUUUUUUUCAAAUUCCAAUUGGAAAUUUGCUUUACAUGAACAACAAACAAACUUGAUACUCUUUUAGUGGAGGCAUUAUUUGUUCCUUUAUUUUUUGCACUUAAACAGACAGGCAGUAUGCUUUCUCUGUGUGGAGACCAAGGUCUGUUAAAGGGCUGCUUUUCACGGAAGCUUCACUAAUUUAUACUCAUGGCUGACAUACUCACCUUGUGGGGCUGACACACCGAACCUAACUGAAUAUUGUCCCAUUAACAAAACUAAUGUAUUACGUGUAAGGCACCAGUAAUUAACCUUUAAACUUCGGUUUUGAACAACUCUCAUUUUUAACCUUUAUUUAAGUGUCAUAGUUGUCUUACCUCCUCUUGGCAUUUUUUUUUUAAAGCUCUUCCUAGAUUAAUUGCAUGUUGUAACUCCCUUUUUCCAUUCAAGACAGUUUUGUUUUACGUGCGCUUAUUAUGGUACUUUUAUAAUUGCUUUUUGGUUCUCUGGGCCAUUCUUUUGACAUGCCUCCUUUCUUGGAUCUGUACUAUGAUAGGUGGCUGGGCAUGGUGGCUCAUGCCUGUAAUCCCAGCACUUUGGGAGGCUGAGGCAGGCAGAUCACUUGAGACCAGGAGUUCAAGACCAGCCUCGCCAGUGUGGCGAAACCCCAUCUCUACUAAAAAUACAAAAAUUAGCUGGGCUAGGUGGCGUGCACCUGUAAUCCCAACUAUUCAGGAGGCUGAGCCAGGAGAAUCGCUUGACCUGGGGAGGCAGAGGUUGCAGUGAGCCGAGAUCUAUCCCCUGCACUCCAUCCUGGGCAACAGAUUGUGACUCUGUCUCAAAAAACAGUAAUAAUAAAAUACACUAUGGAAGGUGUUGGUCUGUCCAUGUGACCACAUGCAAUGAGGUGCUUUGUGCGUUUGCCUUGUGUGAGCAGCGAUGGAAUGAUCCUAGCGGGGCCUUGGAGGAACUGGAAUGUUCUUUGCCUAGUUGCACCUGCGUCAGCUCUGUAGGCCCAGCCCUGGGGCCCAGCAGCUGCUCCCCUGGUUUGCUUUCCUCCCAGGUUGCCUCAUGCUGCUGCUGAGCAACCUUCACCUGAUGGGCGGUGCCACAGCAGGGUCAGUGAAGGGUGCCCCUUCCUUCUAGUGACCUGGGCUGCCCUAGCCCUGGCCCUUCAGUAGCCAUUCCAAACCUUUCUGGUCCCCCCAAAUCCAGGACUUUAUCCCCUUCACCCUCAGAGGAUGACCUUAUAUUCUAUUUUGUGGAGAAAAUGGAGACUGUCCAUCAAAACCCCUUAACUCCCGUCCUGCGUGCAUUCCUAAGUUCCUACAUUAACCCCCGUGUCACUAGCUAACGAUCCUUUCUGUCUCAGGAAGCAGUGUUCUUCCUCGCGCACAGGGCUCUGCGUUUGUCUAAGGCAGAGAGACCUGGGCCCUGAUCCCAUUCUCUUUCCUCAACUCCAGGAACUUGCUUCCUGCAUUCAUUUUCUUUUUUCCAAUGAUUCCUCCUUCUCAGCACAUAAAAGUGACCAACCCCUCGCCCCACCCCCGCUGCACAAAAAACAAAUAGAAAAUGGAAACCAGUCCAACCAGGGUGAACCUCCACUGACUGUGUGCCCUUGUUGAGCUACUGCUCAUAGGGGAGCUUCUAGAAAGGAAGGACUUAUUGUCUUAGUUACUUGAUCCACUUCCUUACCUCCUGUUCAUGCAACUUUGCUUGUUUUGCUUCUACUAAAAUGGUUCUAGGUGCUGUGUGGACAGGUGAUACAAAAGCCUGACUCACACGGUUGACAUUCAUUCAUUCCAUUUUCAUUUCUCUUUGAGUGAUCCUGACAAGCAGAGGGUCUCAGGUGGAUAUUACUGUGUCUUUGAGACCUCUCUAAUCCUUAUCUAUCUCUCAUUUUAAUACAGAGAGUUUCAUACGCAGACCUUAAGUAGACAUAGUAUCCAGCUAAAAGGGUCUCACUCUGUCACCCAGGCUGGAGUGCAGUGGCGCAGUCAUGGCUCCCUGUAACCUCAACCUCUCAGACUCCAGCAAUCCUCCUGCGACAGAUGUCAAAGAAAGAAAUGCAGAUCCUUCAGUUCAACUCUCAGUUGCAGUAAAGCCACCUACAGGAUCAGGUCAUACUAAACUGAAAUGUUGUUAUUAUCCUUUUCUGUAAGGGAGGCAGUCAAUGGUGAAUGCUGGCCUCGCUGAUUACUCACCUGGAGACCUUUCUGAGGAUCAGUUUUCUCAUCUAGAAAAUGGGACAACUGCCAGACCACUGAAGAAAAUACAGAAAACAGCCCCACACAUCAGCAUGUUUGGUUGCUGCCAGUCUACUUGGAUCUGAGUAUUUUUUCUUGCCAUGAAUGUGACGUGAUUAUCUUCUCCUACAUCACACUGAAGUUUUAUGAAUGAUGCUUUGAAGUGGGAAGGGCCAGAGAGUUAAUAUUUUCGGCUUCUUGGGCCAGCUGGUCUCGGUGGCAGCUACUGAGCUCUGCCACUGCAGCAGAGAACGGGCACAGGCGAUAUGGAAAUGAUAGGCGCGGCUGUGUUCCAAUAAAACUUUAUUUACAAAAAUGGGCAGUAGACCAGAUUUGGUCUGUGUCUUAGAGUUUGCUGACCCUGCUUUAAAGAAACAUCAAAGAGAUUCUACCAGCUGAUUUCCUUGCUCCCAAAAUUCUUGUAAGGACUAUGGCUGAGUUAGGAAGUUAUGUACUUUAAUAGCUAAUUUCAGGCCUGGCGUGGUGGCUCACGCCUGUAAUCCCAGCACUUCGGGAGGCUGAGGUGGGUGGAUCACUUGAGGUCAGGAGUUUCAGACCAGCCUGGCCAACAUGGCGAAACCCUGUCUCUACUAAAAAUACAAAAAAAUUAGCUGGGCGUG